rnacentral:rRNA from 1 species
UACAGCGGGUGCGAGCGUUGUCCGGAUUUAUUGGGCGUAAAGAGCGUGUAGGCGGCCAGGUAGGUCUGCUGUGAAAACUCGAGGCUCAACCUCGAGACGUCGAUGGAAACCAUCUGGCUAGAGUCCGGAAGAGGAGAGUGGAAUUCCUGGUGUAGCGGUGAAAUGCGCAGAUAUCAGGAAGAACACCUAUGGCGAAGGCAGCUCUCUGGGACGGUACUGACGCUGAGACGCGAAAGCGUGGGGAGCGAACAGG